CCUUUUCUUUUUUCACAUUCUCUCUCUCCUCAUAUGUCUCGAUCUCCUCCUCUCUCUCUCUCUCCUCAACCCAAACCCUAAGCCCCUUUCUUCUCCCUCUCCAUGCCCUUCUUCUCCCUUGAACUCCCUUCUUUCUCCAUUGAAGCGUAGAUCUGUUGUCUCUCCAUUGAAGCCAGGGUUCGUUACUCAAGCAUUGUCGGUCGUCCUCCUCUCUCUCGCAAGCUUCCUCGUUCCUCCGUCCCUUUCCCCCUCGCAACUCCGGUGGAAUUUGGGGUUAUUUCCGGCAGCCAGGGUUCCAAAUUUUAUUAGAUCGAAUUAGAGGUGGUUAUGAGGAUGGCGACGGUACUAAUUGGGAUUUCUAGGCUUUUCAGUAAAUUCGAAGAAGAAAAAAAAACCCAAUUUCUGAAUCCCUAAUUCAUACCAUUUGGAGCUCAAUUUGCAUGUUUUAUUGGGAUUUUUGUUAACAAGGCUGCAGCUGCCCUGCCGAGGCUGCUGCUGCAGAAACCAGAGAACUUAAGCCAGUGGCGUGGUGUGAGAUUCAGGCUUCGGACGCUGUAUUAUUGUUCUGUGCUGCUGCUUCGGAGCUGUUGUUGUCUAGUAAUUGUGAUGCUGCUACUCUGCUAGUGAUUGUUGUGUAGGAAGUUGUUGUUCUUGUUAUAGUGAAUGUAUCCAAUGUAUUUUUUUUCCUUUGUUUUUUGCAAGGGUAAAAUUAAAGGUUAUCAAUGAAAUUAUCAGUUUUAAGUAUACUAUGUAUAUUAUAACAGUCUGCUGCUAAUUUUGGGUGAAAAAAGAAAAAAUAAAAAUAAAUUAUUUUUUUAGGGCA